rnacentral:piRNA from 1 species
GAAUUCCAGGACAGCCAGGGCUAC